UAAUGAUAUAUUUUGUGGCGA
rnacentral:piRNA from 1 species